GCCCUACAACAGCUGUGCUAUCUUUGCAACUUCUCAUUGGCUUUGGGCCCCUCACUACUGGAAAGACAUUGAGGCCCUGGAGCGUGUCCAGAGAAGGGCAACAAAACUGGUGAGGAGUCUGGAGCACAAGUCUUGUGAUGAGCAGCUGAGGGAACUGGUCUGAAGAAGAGGAAAUUCAUGGGACAUCUCAUCACUCUCUACAACUGCCUGAAAGGAGGAUGUAGUGUGGUGGAGGUCAGCCUCUUCCUAUCACUAGGUGGCAGCAAAGGGGCAGUCUGGUAAGAUGGUGUCUGACAUGGAAGUGCUUAUGAAGCAGAUGUGUGGAACUGAAUUCCUUCAUGCAGAAAAAAUGGCACCUACUUGCAGUCAUCGACACUUGCUGAAUGCUUGUGGAGAACAGAUAAUGGAUGUGAGCACAGUGAUGUGCUGGGUGGUACAUUUCAAACAGUGGCAACAGUGACAGUAUAACCUCCAAUGGUGCAGAUUUUUACAAGCACAGAAUUCAGUCUCUUCAUGACUGACAAAAACGCAUAGCUGAU
ensembl:lncRNA